CCUGCACCGUUAUGUUAGCGCGCUCUUUCGCGUCUCUUCUCUGGCUGAGACAUCCCCCUGAGAGACGCGCUACAAACAAGCUUAGACCUCCCGGAAGUGUGUGAAAGUGAACGUGAGGAGCCGCAUCCGUCCUGAGAGCCCUGUCAGUGUCAACCUCGGAUUGGAUGUUUCAGAAUCUGAACACUUUCGGGUUCUGUGGCGAUGAUAGACUGUGGACGACCCAGAACCAGUGUGGCCAGCUGUGGAUCCGCCCUCAGAGGACAUCAGGACCAUCAUUCAUUCAGGAACAGAUAAGAACCAACACAUUCAAACUACCCAGGUAGUGUUAGAAAUAGCGUGUGACGCAAAGUCAAGGGAACAUUUCAUCUCCUUCCCUUCAGAAGUGCCUCUGAAGGAAGUGAACUCUGACCUUUAAGCCAUUAAAGGAGGAUUCUGCAAAGAAAGGACACUUUUAUUGGAACUUUAAUUGUUUUGCACUUUGAAAUACUACUUGCAUACUAUUUAAUUUUAUAGUUUCACAACUACUGAUCGUGUCUGUGGCAAUAAAAUUGUUGUCAUUGUUCAACUACA